UUACAGACCCAUAUUUUUUAAGUAUAUACAUUUUUCUUAAUCACACCUUAAAUAAAAGGUUUGAGUCAUUUGUGACGUGGUUAACUGUCAACAUUACAAGAGAGAUAAAAACAUUAUUGAAAAAUGAAGGUAGGAUAUUAGCAAAAUACCUGGUUAAAAUUUGUACAUUAAGUGAACCAAGUGAUCUCUCACUGAUCUCUAAUCUGCACCUGUUCAGUUUGUCUGUUUCAUUAGAGCAGAUGUGGGACCAGUUUGUCUCUCUAUCAACAGGGGUUUUACUGUUAAUGAGUUAUAAAAAAAAUAAUUAAAAAAAACUCUUCACACUAAACACUGACUGGCCACAUCACAUGUUGGCCAAGGUGGUUAGUCAGAGAAAAUUUAUCUGCAAAGAUGAUAAUGCACAGAGGGGUCAUUUACUUGCUAAUGAUAGCUCUGUUCCCACAAACAAGCAGAUGGUAACUGAUCUCAGAGCAGUGAAAGCAGAGCCAGUCACAGCUUGUUUUGCACAGUGACCUCCCAUCAAUCUCCACAAUGCGCAAAGAACCAGAAAGGUUGCUGGCUUCUCAUCUUGACAAGCUGAAGUCAUCGUUAACAGGACACGGACAAGCCCAAUAAGAUACUGGCCACAUACAGAAUCCUAGUUAAGCAGAGUUAAGUCUGCUUCCAGAGAAAGAAGCCAAUUUUGGCCACAAGAUGGCAGUAAUCUAAACGCUGGAUGCAAAUAGAUGAGAAACUUUAUGAAAGAGUGCUGCCUGAGAUUUUAAAAAGUAUGUUUAAUUAAUAUGUGUUUUAAGGUUUCACUGGACAAGCACUACUUUCCUGACCGAAUGCCACUAGAGCACUGGAGUAAUGUAAUGCAUUACUAUACUAAAUUCAUUAGAGUUAGAGUUACCAAUCAAACAAUCAUGCCUUUACCUGCGUAACAUAAGUUAUUCAGUUAUCUACAGAACUGGCUAAUAAGGAAAAAAAUCAAACAUCAAACAUUUCCUUCUGCUGCACACUAGAAUCCCAUACUGGCUUUUCUUCAUUGGCAUCCUGUCAAAUCCCGAAUUAAAUUUAAGGUCGGUACAUCCAGCCACAAUCAGUUUCUGACUCCAGCUUGUCAGCCUGGUGAACCACUUGUCACAUAACGCAAACAGGCUCUCCUCCACACCAUCCUUAUUUAUAAAGUGCUUUACAAAACCAAACAUUACAACAGGUGAACUUUGCAGUUUCACUCCCACUAGCCAAACAACGGGGAGCCACUCACUGCUAAAGAAACAGAAUGUGAAAGUGGACAGUAUACCCUAAGUUUGUUAACAUAAAACUCAUUGUUACAGACAGGAAUAGCACAAAAGUAACAGAUUUUUAGGUUUAUUGUCCUUAUUUUUUCCCUAAGUUAUUGGUUCUGUUACUAGUUAGCUAACAUAAACUAAUGUAAGUCUAUUGACAGCAACCAACCAACUCUGAUGUAACGUUCCGUACUGACAGAAAACUUAUGUUUUAAAUCCAGCUACACAGACAGUGUUACAUCCAUGUCAUGUUUUUGAGAGCAGGGCUUCAUGGUGUAUUUGGGGGUUUUUUUGGUUUUGUGUUUGAACCUAAAGAACUAAAAUAAAUAUCUUGUGUCUGUCUUUAUUAGGACAGGUGUUGGUGUGUUUGUAAGUAGGCUAAGUGUUAGCUCUUUCAUUACAAUAGAUGCAACUGUGUGCAUCUGUGUGCAUGUGUGUUUCAUUAGCUGCCAACUCUUCCAACACAAUCUAGAAUUAACCAACCAAACUUGGCACACAUUUUAGCCCACUGAAGGUUCUUAUCUAAAUCAGAUAGUAUGAUAUGAUCAUGUUCCCUUGCAACUACCUAGAAAUGGACUAAAAUUACUUCUUUUUUGCCCUCAUACAACAACUUGUGAAAGCAUACUAUCAAUUUCAUUUCACAAUAACAACAUCUCAUUUAUACCUUCAAAAGCUGAAUUAUACAUAGUAUAAUAUAAUGUCAUGUUGCCUAGCAACCACCUAGCAAUGGGUUAAAAUGACCCAUUUUUUGCAUUUAUGCACCUACAACACCUUAUAAACGCAUCGUAUCAUUUUCAUUUCAUAGCCAACAGUAUGAAAAGACCAAACAAUACGAGCAUGUACUACAUUGAAUCUCAGGCCAUGAGAAAUGCAAAGUAAUGUCAUGGUUAGAGCAAUGAAUGACUUUCUACAGAGAGUAAAUAAAUUAUUAAAGGGAAUGAUCAGUGUGUAAUAUAUUAUCAUUCUACUUUUUUUUUUUUUCCAGAAACUGAAUAUUUUUAGUAAUUUAAAAAAGGAUCCAAUCCAUUGUUGAUAAGAAUAGCCAUUGUGUUGUUGCAUCUUUUAUUGCUUACAGAAGCAAUCAAGCUUAUUGGAUAUCUCAAAUUAUGAGUGAUGAGCAACAACCUUCUCAUGACCUCUUCAGGACACCCUUACUUGGAAAAGGGAUAGUUUAUAGCAGUGCUACUGUGUAAAUAAAUGACAGAUUGUCAGGUCAGCAGGCAACAAUUGGUCCUGGUAACAAGCAGCCCAACAAGCUAAAGGAGAGGGGAUGACAAUCACGAAGGCCAAUCAGCUGAAGAAUCCACCAGUAUAAAAAAAGAGAAAGUUUAAAUGCUGACAGACACAAACAAAAAUAGCACAGAAAAUCAUGCACAUGGACAUUCACAGUUCAGACUGAAGGUUAGAAGAGAAGCAUUGUUGACCGAUCACGUCUCUAUUUUUAUUCCCACCGCCCCCGAGAAACGCACACCCGCACAUGACUUCUUUUUGCCAACUAAUCUGUUCAAAGUUUCUACAGCAUCAUGCUGCGUUUUAUUACAGGGCUUUACUCCAAAAUAGCCCCAUUAUCAGCAGCAGCUCAAAUAGCAUCAUGUUACCUAACAAAUUGUUGCUGUGUGAAUACAUAUCAGAUAUCACCUGGAAAUCUGUCAGACCUCUUUAAUGUGACCCUAUCUAAAUACACACAUGCAAACUCACAAGAAUUCCACUUGAUCUUUCCAGUCUCUUCCAGCCGUUCUACUUGAAGCCGGUUUGGACUAAACCCAGCAGCUGGAAGACUGUGCUCAGCCCCAGCACACCAGCCAGCCAGACUGACUGAGUUUUAUUCUGCUGCUCAGAAAGGCAUCAGGAUCUGAAACCUCACACAGUGUAUAAACCGAGGGACUGGAAUGACCACACACACCUUUAUAAAUGUAAAUGUGAUCCAGGAUAUACAGUAGAUGAUUUGUGUGUUCAGCAAAAGGAGCAAGUGGGAGAAAAUUAGAGGUUAAGUGUGUGAAUGUGAGUUCAAAGUCAAGAAGGAGAGAUAUAAAGUUAAAGGGAAAGAAUGAGAUCAUGACUCUGUGUAUGUGUGUGUGUGUGUGUGUAAGAGAGAAGCAGAGUGAGCGGUAUUGGCCACGGUCUGACUUUGACCUACACAGACUGCCAGUGAGAAAGCAGCUGACAGUCUGUCCAGUUGGCAUGCGCGCAGUGCUUCGGCAACGUGCAGCCUGCCUCGUACACAGAAACUGUUACCGAGCGCGUCUGUUACUGAGUCAACAGCAGCCACUGGUGGACGAAUUCAGACAUUCAUUCAUAAAAAAUUAUGACUACAUAGUCUCGUGAUUACAUCUAGAAGUAUGGAAAUCUACACUGUGAUGAGGCAUAGAUGAAUCAGUUGUCUGCUUUAUAACUAUUUCAGACAUAACACAUGAAGCAAUUAUGCACAUACGCAUUUCCUGAAGAUAUUGGCUAUACAUGUCUUGGAAAUACACCGGCACAUAUAUGGACACAUUCUGGCUCCAGCUGGAAAAACAGAGUCUCCAUACAGUCAGCAGCACAUCCUUUGCUAUAAAAGUCAUAAAGGCAGAACAGGGCAGAACAAUCUCCACCGGGAAUCCAAACUCAUACUAAUUUAAUGGUUGACUACUUUUGGUCUAAAGGUGGAGGCAGAUCAAAGUGUUUUUUUCUGGGGCAAGAACACUGUGCUAUGCUUUAUGAGGGACACAGAGACCAACACAACCAUAUAAUGUAAGCCAUUGUGACCAGAGCUGGAGGUAUCUGGUCUUUGAGUAAUGCAUGAGCAAGUAAAAGUAGGAGGAACAAGGACGUCAAAGCGGUACCAGAGGCAGGAGUGGGAUUGCAACACUGUUAAGUAAUACCUUUCAAGCUUUCCAUGAUUGCCUAAAAUAAAACCCGGGUGUCCAGUCUGGGCUCCAGGAAAUGUCCACCGACAGGAAAUGACGAAUAAAUGGUCACUGUAACCAAAAACUCUUGUCUAAACAUUAAAACGUAAGAAGGCAGCCUGGUGAUGUGGACUAGAGCUCUCUCUGGGUUUGAAAAAGAUGAAAAACUGCAGGGACCCGGACAGUGAGAGAUGCCAUGCUCUGCCAGCUAAAGGAUAUCUGAGAUGACUGAAUGGGGAAGAACAGAAGACAAUGAUCCGCUUUCCCACACGGAUGCAACAGCACAGACGUACACAAAGCCAAUCUAGCCUGAACUGACCUAAAGGGGAGUAUGACUCAUUGGACCAGUGCCUGAGUUCCAGUGCUCCAACCAUAAUAACUACACCUGCUUUAAACGAGAAGCCUGACUGUCACCCAGAGCCGCUCUGAUUUCAUGUCACCAGCCUGCCCCUGUGAUCCGUCCUUGUGUAUGAUGAGCUGGACUUGCAGUUGAUACUUUGUUGCUGUGUAGCUUGUUUCUUGGUUGUCGUGUGAGACACUCGCCACACCCUGGAGACUGGGCCAGGUGUUAGCUUCCACAUGUCACACCACCCCAACUGAUCACAGAUCAGGAGUUGCUCUACGUGGAUGAUUUUGGUAGGUUAGUGCAGCACAUGAUUUAAUUUUAUUCACGUAAUCCUAAUAAAAGACUGAGUCAUG